CGGUUCUGGGACUCCGGGUAAGAGGAAGAAGCAUGGUCGGAGAAUCGUGAAGGGAUGACGAUGAGUGUGACGGAUAUGCGGUCGUCGCUGUCUACGAGAAGCUUUGCUACUGCGGUCGUUGAUCGGAAAUGGCCGAUGCCAGGGGAAGGUAUGAACACUAGCUCGAGUUCCAUGACGUCUACUUUGAGUUUCGAGUUUUUGAUAUGAUAAGUUGUGCAAUGAAAUUUGUGGCUUUUAUCAAAGGUUUGUGGUUUUCUUUUUGAACUGUAUAGUAUGGCCCCAUUUUGUUAUAGAUAUUGUUAUAGCAAUUUAUAAAACGUGUUUAAAGAAAAAAGAGCAAUUUAUUAAACUUGUCUUAACGUACUUUUUUUAGUUAGUGAAUCUAUAUUUAAAAUUAUUGUAUUAAUGGUAAAAUAAAUAGUAUUUCAAACAUUUAUAUACUAUUUUAGUCUUGAUCAUACUAAAAUGGAUCUCUAGGCAUUUUUUGCCCAAAAGGUGUAUGAUGAAAUGCCUGAAUCAACUCUUCAAUGCUUUUAGCUUGCUUUACCUAAGAGAUUAGUUGCUAAAGGAGUUAAGAUUGCUAUUGGACUUGUUCUCCAUGUUUGCUUUACUAACAUUCAACCUAAGAGAUUAGAUGCUUGAGUUGCUUUACCAAAAGAACAUUCAUCUAGAGAUAGAGCUUGUUUAGCUUAGUGUCUAGGCAUAAGGAAAGUGUUUGAUUGAUAUCUUGCUACCCUUAGAUUGGAUCUACAUCACCUGAGAUCAAAUGCCUAGCCCCAUGAGUCCUCUUGCUUCAAAUUGAGAAAGAAAGAUCAUUACUUUAUUGCAUUAGCUUAUUAGUUCUUAGUUCAUACCAUCUUUAAAACCGGAUCGCACUUAGCUUAAACAUGAACUUGCAUUCCCUUUGCUUUAGAAUCACCUAGGAUUGGUUCGACAAUCUUUUAUAUUACAUUGAUUUGAUCUUGGACCCUUGAAAAGUCUUGCAUCAGCUACUGCGGUCGUUGAUCGGAAAUGGCCGAUGCCAGGGGAAGGUAUGAACACUAGCUCGAGUUCCAUGACGUCUACUUUGAGUUUCGAGUUUUUGAUAUGAUAAGUUGUGCAAUGAAAUUUGUGGCUUUUAUCAAAGGUUUGUGGUUUUCUUUUUGAACUGUAUAGUAUGGCC
rnacentral:lncRNA from 1 species